rnacentral:lncRNA from 1 species
AGAUGACUUCUCAACUUGAUAAAGGAAAACGCGUAGCUAUAGAUUCAGCUCCCCCAAGUUCUAAAUCAUCCAGUAAUGCUGAAGGUACGCCCAAUAAAUCCACUACUUCAGAAGCUUGGGAGCAUUUUAUCCAAUUAAGUUCUGAUCCACUACAUCCUAGAUCCAAAUGUCGAUAUUGUGGAAAAUAAUAUAAAUGUGGUUUUAAUAAAGGAACAUCUAAUCUAUUGGGUCAUAUAAGAGAGAGAUGUCUAAAAUAUCCUGGUCGAGCUCGAGUGGACAAAAAAUAAAAAACUUUGUCUUACCAACCAGUGAAAAUUGGAGAGCCAUGUAGCCUUGUAUCAGCGACCUAUAAUGUUGAGGCUUGUAGGGAAGCAAUUGCUAAGUUUAUUAUAAAAGAUGAGAUGUCAUUUAGAGUUGUAGAGGGUGAAGGGUUUAGGGAAAUGUUGGGAGUUUUUGAAAAUACAUUUAAAGUACCAUCUCGCACUACUAUUGCUCGUGAUAUUUUGCAACUUUACAAAAAAAACAAAGAAAGAUUUGACUGAUUUUUUUGUUAGUAGUCAUCAAAGAGUUUGUCUCACUACAGACACAUGGACUUCAGCUCAAAAUCUUUGUUAUAUGUGUCUUACAGCUCACUUUAUUGAUGAUAAUUGGACAUUGCACAAAAAAUUAUUGAAUUUUUGUCAAGUUGCUGACCAUAAAGGUGAAACAAUUGGUAGGCAAAUUGAAACAUGCCUAUUAGAUUGGGGCAUUGAGAGAGUUUUUACAGUAACGGUUGAUAAUGCUUCUUCUAAUGAUGGUGUUGUUUUUUAUUUGUCAAAAGUUGUGAACAAUUGGAAUGGUGCAAUCUUAGGGGGUCAAAAUAUGCAUUUGAGGUGUAAUGCACAUAUAUUAAAUCUCAUUGUUGCAGAGGGGUUAAAAGAGUAUCAUCAGUCGAUUUCUAAAAUUCGCAAUGUUGUAAGAUUUGUUAGAUCUUCACCUUCUAGGACACAAAAGUUUAAGGCAUAUGCAGAGCGAGAGAAAAUUUCUUCAAAUAAGUUGUUGUGUCUAGAUGUCGUAACUAGAUGGAAUUCCACUUUUUUCAUGUUAGAGGCUGCUGAAAAGUAUGAAAAAGUAUUUGAUCGGUUAGAGCUUCAUGAUGCACAAUACAUUCGUAAGUUUUGUUUGAGCGAGCAAAAAACGUGUCCUUCUUCAAUUGAUUGGGAAUAUGCUCGUUAUUUCAUUAAAUUCUUGAAGGUUUUUCAUGAUGCCACUUUGACAUUUUCGGGUUCUUUAUAUGUGACAUCCAAUACUUUUUUGCGCCAAUUAUGUUUGAUUCAUACACAAUUGCAAGCUUGGAGGGAUAGUAAGGAUUUAUUUUUGAAGACAAUGGCUGAAAAUAUGAAAAAGAAGUAUGAUAAGUAUUGGGGAAAUUAUGAAACAAUCAACCCUUAUUUGUUUGUUUCUAUUUUGCUUGAGCCUCGACAUAAAGAACGGUUUUUGAGAUAUUGUUUUGUAGUGUUGUUUGGUGAAUUUAAAGCUAAUGAGUUGGUUGUUAAAGUGCGGAAUAAUUUACAUAGUUUAUAUGAGGAAUACAAAUUGCUUUAUGGUGAUGAUGUGGAAGUAAUGGAUGUUGUUAAUGAUGAAAAAGAGUUAGAGGUUGAUACUGAGGUUGAUGCUAGGCAAGUGUUUGAUUCGGGUUAUAUGAGGAUUUUAAAAGACAAUACUUUUGUAGAGUGCAAAACAUAAGUGGAUCUUUACUUGUUAGAAUCAUGUGAGAACCCAGAAAAUGAGAAUUUUGAUGUUUUGGAUUGGUGGAAGAUUAAUUCUUCCAAAUAUCCAAUUUUGUCUUAUGUUGCUCGAGAUAUUUUGGCCAUGCCUGUUUCUACUGUGGCAUCUGAGUCAGCAUUUAGCACUGGUGGGCGUGUUCUUGAUCCACAUCGAUGCUCACUAUCUACAAGGACGGUGGAGGCAUUAAUUUGCACACAAAAUUGGCUACGUUCAACUCCGAUAAAUCUUGAUGAAGCAAUAGAUGAGAUUGAACAUAUUGAGACAGGUAAAAUGUAACAAUUUAACUUUAAUUUUAUUUUUUGAUUAUUAUUUGACUUUAUAUUGUUAUUCUAUUUUAAAAAUUGACAUUUUUCUAAUCUUAUACGUACAGAGAUUUUGGGAGCUGACAAGAACAUAUUUGAUGAAGCUUGAUGGCAUUUGAUGGGAUAUAAGGGUAAAUAUUUAUUAAUUUAUUUAUUAAAUAAAUUUUUUUUAUUUGUUAUUUAUAUCAAUUAUGUUUAUUUUGUUUAGGUUAAAGUAUGAAACACAAAUUGGAGAUGGACGUUUUUCCUUUUGGUGUGUUUUAUUUUGAGACUUUCAAUGUAUUAUUGUGGCUUUAUUUGAACAAUUAAUUUUGAUAUUAUAUUAAUGUAUUAUUGUAACUUUAUUUAAACAAUUAAUUUUGGUGUGUUAUAUUUUAAAACUUUGAACGUAUUAUUGUAGUUUUAUUUGAACAAUUAAUCUCG